GAUCAUGGCUCAGGAUGAACGCUAGCUACAGGCUUAACACAUGCAAGUCGGAGGGGCAGCAUGGUCUUAGCUUGCUAAGACUGAUGGCGACCGGCGCACGGGUGAGUAACACGUAUCCAACCUGCCGUCUACUCUUGGACAGCCCUUUCUGAAAAGGAAGAUUAAUACAAGAUGGCAUCAUGAGUCCGCAUGUUCACAUGAUUAAAGGUAUUCCGGGUAGACGA
rnacentral:rRNA from 1 species